CACGCAUGCACAACAAACGUACUAUUUUCACUCUCUCCUUUUAAAAGACCUGCACAGUGAUUCAGGCUAUACUUUUCCUCCCCUUUAUAAAUAGCUGCACUCCGCUCAAUGACGUGGGAUACGCACGUACAUGUGUAGGUGAAUCUUUGAAUGAGCGCUCCCUCUCCCCUCUCCUCCCUCUCUCCCCUCCUCCCUCCUCCGUGCCUUCUACUAGUUACUACGGGAUCUCUAUAAAAAGCCUAAGGUUGAUGGGAGAGCCCGGUCUAUGGAAAGCGACUCUGGAGAAGAGGGACGGCAGAGUCUGUGCGCGAAGACAGCAUGGCACAGAUUUGCGCUGACAGUCUUGUGGUGAUGAAGACAGCGAGUUCAGAGAGAGAGAGAGAGGGGGGACAGAGAUAUUUCCACAGCCAAGUGCCGCAGACACUCAGGGAGCUUUGAAUAAGGUUUUUCCAUGAGGGGAUUGUUUGUCCUUCUCACCAUCUCUUCCCUGUCCUGUUGCCAGAGCAUCAGCACCUUGGCUUUAGACUGCUUACUGCUUAUACAGUAUCAAAGUACAGUAACAGUCUACAGUCAUGGCUACUGAAGCCUGGCAAUGCAUCAAACACCACAGUGAAGGCAACAUGAACACCCAGUGAAAAAGAAAAAGAUAUUAUCCCAUUCUUUUUUAAAUGGCUGUUGUGAUGGCAGGAGUUCACUCUGCUAGAGAUCCCCCUCUGUGCCCCCCCCACACACACACAAAACACCCACCCACUCAGCCACCCACCCGCUCAGAGAGGAAACCUGUGUGGGCUUGCAUUGGGGGAGACCUACACAAUGUAAGCACGUAGCAUUCACACUCAAGCCAAUGAGACCUUGCAGGUUUCCUGUUACCAUGCCAACUCCAGUUCCUCCUCCACCCUGCUGUCUCCAUGGCGACCGUGGCUUUAGAUUGUUACUCUAGCAACAGCACCAUGGUAACAGUCUACAGCCAUGGUCGUUAGGGGCAGGUGUCAUCAGGAAAGAGAGAGGUUGCAGCUCAUGGUGAACUUCACAGUUAAGGUGUCUCGUGCAGUUGGUGAGAUGUCACUUAUUUGUUCAGGUGAAAAGAUGCCAGUUUAAUAUAUUCAUGUCUGUGAAUACUGAGGAAUGACUCAUGUCAUUCAUUGUUUAUGGUGUUUUGACUUUAUUUAAUAAUGUGUUUUGCUCGCUACACCCAACACCUUCACGAUAAGUUAAGCUGCAACACGUGUAGACACACGCUGCCUUCCUUUUUAACUUCAUUACACAUAGGGUGCUUCUUUUGAUCAGUGAGUACAGUGAUGAAUGCACAGAGCACAUGCUGAACGGAUGAGUCAGCCAGCUCCAACACCUGCUCUGCUCUCUGUUUAUCAGACAAGAGCAGCUUCACUUCAAAGCAGCACAGCCAAGAAUUCCCUGUGGGCAGCGCUAUAACCUGCAGCCACAUACAAACACACACUGGGUCCUAACAGGUGGGCUAACCCACACGCACGCAUGCACACACACACGUUUGGUAUGCUUACAACAAACACAUCACACUCAUAAAGACUGCACUCCAACUUAGGCUACUCUACUUCAAACAUUACUCGGUAAUGUUUAGAGUUAUACUGCCCUCUAGAGGCUAGAAUUUGCCAAGGUCAUCUGCUUAACACAUUUUUUUCCCCAGACUCAAAAGUUCUGCAGCAAAUGAAAUAUAAAUAAAAGCUUUAUCCCAGUGGUGUGUGGAUACUUGCGAAAUUAUCUGCCUUUCAAUGCGAUGAUGUGUUAGCUUUUCCUACUUUGUAACCGAAAAAGUGGAUGCUGAUGAAGAUAAUCAAAACAAGACUAAUGUUUUUAUAAACCUCCAGAUUCCUCCAUGACAGUAAGAUAUAUUUCUCAUAUUAUUUGUGCACUGCAGCUGCCAAAACCCUUAGACAAUGAAGAUAAGUUUCUAAAAAAAGAGAAAAAAAACUUUAAACAGAGUGAUUUGGGAUACAAGUGAGCACACAGAGCAAAAAUCCUAUGUAAACCAUAUCAGCCUUUAUAGAUUAGAUCAAAUAAACACAAGUUUAAAAAAAAUCUUAUUUUCAUUUAAAAAUGCUCUUUAUUGAAAAGGAGGCCGAUGAGGCACAUAAGGGUCAUUACUAAAGACAUUUCAAAGAAGUUUGCAGAGAAAACACUACAGGAAUCACAUUUUUGCAUUGCGUCACUCCAGCUGGAACCUGAUCUUUUCAAAUAUUUGUCGUUCACUGAUUUGCCAAAGGAAAAUAGAAGGAAAGGGAACAAGGACAAGAAAAAAAAGAUCAGUUGUUUAUCCUCUACCUCCCUGCACCGUAAAAGCUCAUGUGCUGAGAGUUAAAGAACAGCACAUAAACUCUUACUGUUAAGGGCUGAGAAGUCGCUGCAGGUCAAACUACAUAAAAGGGAACAUACCACAGCUUGCUUUGGGGGUGACUGGUUGGGGUUGUAGCUGUAGCACAUCCUAAGUUGGCACUGGGCAAGAGGUGGAGUACAUCUUGGACAGGCUACUGAAUCAGGGCUAAAACAGAGAGACAUUCACACUCACAUGCACAUUCCGCAAAUGAAUCCAAUAUAAAACAAAAGAAAACAAACAAAAAUAAAUGCAGGACAUCUUGCUGGUAUGUAAGUAUACCAACAGAGAACAACAAGGCGCAGUCUUCAAGUGACAGCGUUCAAGUCUUUAUUCUUCAAGCAUAUUUCUAGAAAAACAGAUCAGCAUGUGUCUACUCUAAGUCAUUCUACUUAUUCUGAAUUGAGUACCACUCACUUGUGGUCUUCUAAUAUGCAAAUCAUAGGCAUGAGGAGAAAACGAAGCUUUACUCUGCACAGAGAAAGUAGGCCAAUCAGGAGGUUUGAACCUUCUUGCUGUGAGGUGAUGCUGCUAACCAAUGCACCCCUAUUUGUACGAGCAAAUGAUAAAAACUUCUAUUCCCACUUAUUCCUACUAACAGUCUUAGGCCCUUUUUUCUUUUACACUUUCAGUCUAAUGCAAUCAUCAAACUUUGUUGUUCUUGCUGUUGUUAUUCCUCUGCACAUAUCAUCUUGGUCUUGAUGAUCACUUUUAUGCUCCACGCCUCUUCAUAACUGUGCAUAACGGCGCAACAGAGUUGACUUAUAAAAAAAAAGAAAGAAGUGAAAA